rnacentral:rRNA from 1 species
GGAACGGCUAUACACGGAUGAUAUUUUGAACCGCAUGGUUCAAAAGUGAAAGACGGUCUUGCUGUCACCUAUAGAUGGAUCCGCGCUGCAUUAGCUAGUUGGUAAGGUAACGGCUUACCAAGGCAACGAUGCAUAGCCGACCUGAGAGGGUGAUCGGCCACACUGGAACUGAGACACGGUCCAG